rnacentral:rRNA from 1 species
CCGCGGUAAUACCCGCAGCCCAAGUGGUGGUCGAUUUUAUUGAGUCUAAAACGUUCGUAGCCGGUUUGGUAAAUCCUUGGGUAAAUCGAGAGGCUUAACCUUCGAAUUCCGAGGAGACUGUCAAACUUGGGACCGGGAGAGGCGAGAGGUACUUCUGGGGUAGGGGUAAAAUCCUGUAAUCCUAGAAGGACCACCGGUGGCGAAGGCGUCUCGCUAGAACGGAUCCGACGGUGAGGGACGAAGCCCUGGGUCGCAAACGGGAUUAGAUACCCCGGUAGUCCAGGGUGUAAACGCUGCAGACUUGGUGUUGGGGGCCCUACGGGGCGUUCAGUGCCGGAGAGAAGUUGUUAAGUCUGCUACGUUGGGGAGUACGUCCGCAAGGAUGAAACUUAAAGGAAUUGGCGGGGGAGCACCGACCAACGGGAGGAGCGUGCGGUUUAAUUGGAUUCAACACCGGAAAACUCACCAGCGGCGACUGUUACAUGAAAGUCAGGCCGAUGACCUUACUAGAUUUUCAGAGAAGAGGUGCAUGG